UACGGGGGGAGCAAGCGUUGUUCGGAUUUUCUGGGCGUAAAGGGCGCGUAGGCGGCCAGCGCAAGUCAGUUGUGAAAUCUCCGGGCUUAACUCGGAACGGUCAACUGAUACUGCGCGGCUAGAGUGCAGAAGGGGCAACUGGAAUUCUCGGUGUAGCGGUGAAAUGCGUAGAUAUCGAGAGGAACGCCUGCGGCGAAGGCGGGUUGCUGGGCUGACACUGACGCUGAUGCGCGAAAGCCAGGGGAGCAAACGGG
rnacentral:rRNA from 1 species